AUUCUGCUGCUUUUGGAUGGAAUGUUCUAUAUAUGUCUGUUAGGUCCAUUGGUCUAAAAUAUAGUUCAAGUCCAAUGUUUCCUAACUGAUUUUCUGUCUGGAUGAUCUCUUCAUUGUUUUAAGAACCAAAUCUUCAAGUCCCAGAAGAUAAAACUGUGUGGCGCCAAAGGUUCUAGAAGACAAAGGCUGGAUUUUUUAAAGGAAAAACAGAAAAUUGUUAAAAAAGAAAAAAAAGACAAGCAAGGAGCAACAUUUGGACCCAAGAGCUAUAUGUCAGCCUCUGUGUAACCAUAUCCUAUAUCAGAGAAAAAGUCUAGGGCAGCACAACACCAUGAUGGGAGAGUAACCUGCAGCUCCCCCCUCCAGCGUGCCCUCACCCCAACCCCCCACAUGCCAUCUCCCCAGGAGCCCUACUUACUUACACCAAACCACCAGGCACCCCAACAGGAUUGCCAGUCUCUGAGAGCCGUCAUGCAGCACCAUGUUCUCAUUUGAAGAAUAAGAGGCAGUGGGAUUUUCCUGCAUUGUGAAAAGAUUGUGAAGAUUAAUGAAGUAAUGUCUCAGAGAACAUCUUCAUACGUCAGCAGAGGGUGUUCAGAAUGCUGUACAACACAGGAAGAUAUGAGAUACUGUAUUCAGAGCAGCCAAACAUGAAUCUGAACCCUUACCAAACCUGAUCUACUGUUUGCUAGUUAGUGCCUGUGGGUAAGAGACUGAAGCCUCGCUGUCCUCAUCUGUAAAAGGAGGGCUGGAAAUACCUUCUAGGAUGUCAAGCAAAUGGGUAAGACAGUGUGAGGCAAUGCCUGUCGUACCAGAGACUCUCUCAGUCUCUCUCCAUGAUUAGCCCUUCAGUUAUUUGAGGACUAAUGAUGUGUGUGUAAAGUAAAUUUUUCCAGCCCUCUUGCUUCUCCUAUUUUUCUGUCUUUUGCCAUUUCGGUGGCAUAUGGGUGAAAGCCAGGCUGGAAUAGCGAGAAAGCUUUGAAGUAAAAAGAACUUGAAACUUCUAGAAAUCAGCAUUGCCCUUUGUUAUUUUCUGCUCCCAUAAAAGAGCUUGGCACAGAAGAUAGACUUGAAUAUUUGGCGUGU